GGGGCCGUAGCUCAAUUGGGAGAGCGCAGCGUUCGCAAUGCUGAGGUUACGGGUUCGAGUCCCGUCGGCUCCACUA
rnacentral:tRNA from 1 species